AAUAUUGUGUUCGUGGUCCCGGUGGAAUUCACAAUAUUUGUUCAUGUUCCUCUUUUGGGGGUCAGUUUUGAUCUUUCUGGGCCAUUUGACGAAUUCUUCGUGCUUAAUUUCCGAGAGAACUUGGGCGACAGGGGCAUUGAGUGGUGGCAGGAUAAACUCAGGUCGGCGAGGCGGGGUGCGAGGACGCCUAUUGCUAGACCGUUUUGGAUCUAG
rnacentral:lncRNA from 1 species